UAUGGAGACAACAAUGACAACAGAAUUACCACAGAGAACUAGAAAAUGAAACUCAGCUGAAAAACGGCCACCUAAGAUGGAAGAAGCCAUGAGAUGAGUAAGCGUUGCCUACUCACAAGGUUGCAAACUGUCCUUCACUUACGAUUAUCCCCCAACGCCCCCUCCUAAAUCUGAUCAAUCGCAUGGAACUUGAUGGUUACAAAAGACAGAGCUAACAACUAGCAAAAUGGCCGAAAGGUUUUGGCAAGCAACCUUCUUGGGAGAAAUGCAAAUACCAUUGAUUUUUCGAGGCCUCUCAUGGAUGAAGACAUGCUCCUUUUUACAAGUGUGGUCAGGUUCCCUGAUAACUCUUUGUAUGAUCAUGUGGUUGCAGUACCUUGCAGGAACGGGAACGUCAUUCUGAGGGUAGUCCACAUGCAAGUGUUCUAAAGUUGACAUCACUGCUUCAUCAUUCACCUCAUUUUCCCAGAACAGAAGCACCAAGAAAAUUAUCACCAUUAUUAUCAUCAGAGUGCAGAUCCUUUUUUAAUAGCGAGAACAUUUAAAACCUACUCUUCGAAUAAUUUUGAAAUCUACAAAAUGGCAGCAUGGCCCAGGAGUGUGACUGGCAGUGAAGGAGCUGGGAAGACCUUGGAUGCAGGAAGGUCAUUUAAAGCAAAAGAUUAAGAAGCAGCAAUGCCCCUCUUGUGGCAAGAGUUGGCAGCGUGCGGUUGGUAUGUCAAUGCAUCCAAGGUCCAAGGGCCUGGAUUGUCUGCCAAAUGCUUGGGAGUUGUUUGAUCAGGUUGACAUGCUCCAACAGCAUUGUGGACUGGGCCCACACCUACGCUGAGGUGACCAAUGUCUCCAACUGUUGGAUCUGCUCCACCUUCCAGCAGCAGCUGCGGAGAGUUUGCCCUGGAACGCGUAUCCUGCUUCUGUUAAGAACUGGACAUGGCUAGAAGCUUGGGGUCCCACGGACAAUGGGUGGGAUGCCACAGGGCGGGCUUUGGAUAGGAGGCAUCACAAAACCCAUGGCAAACCUGGCCCUUGGCUGACUCAUAGUGUCCAUGAUGGAUGGAGCUGGCUAAUGGGAGAACACGUGGUGCCCCCAUUGCAGGUAUCACAAUGUAUAGAGCAGCACUGGGGUAAAGUCACUGUGGGAUGGUUGCCUACUGAGGUUUGUGCAAACAUAACAUGUGUCACCACACCAAGGGUGCAGUGGAACAAGCGGCCUUACGAAGGCCAGGCCCCCAUGGACUUUGUGCCCCCUGGGAGUUUAUGGGUCUGUGGGGACACAGGAUGGCCAUAUCUCCCAGCCAACUGGACUGGACAUUGUACCUGGGGUUGGCCCUAUGUGCCUGCCACUGGGCUUCCCACAUUGCCUAGUCGCCACAUAACUGGGAGCCACUGUGUUCCUGCUUUUUCCCAGUGCAGCAGGCCCUCUAGUGGUUCUAUCCCUUAGCAAUGACUAUCCCUGGAGCAGGCGUCAUUACUAUAGAAAAGCAAGUUGCAGCCUUUGCAGACCACACAGCUCGGUCCCGAGUUGCCCUCCUUUUGUUAACUGAUGAAGUUGAUCAGAUCAGGAAGGUGGUGCUGCAAAACCAGAUGGCCUUAGACAUAGUCGCAGCUGCCCAAGGUGGCACCUGUGCCCUUGUAGGGACACAAGGUUGUACAUUUAUCCCUGACAACCACUGGAAUAUAAUGGCAGCUUCACAAGGGGUGUCAUAGGAGAUUAAGGUGAUUGAGCACCUUACUGAUGACCCCCUGCAGAGAUGGUGGGCGUCUUUGGGAUCUGGCCUACAAUGGGCUCUCAUAAUCAUAGGUAGCAUAGCAGGAAUAUUAGUGGUAGGUUGUUGCUGUCUGUGUUGUUGCUGUGGCCUAUGGGUCCAGGGUGCUGCCACAUGUGCAUGGGUCCCCACCAAGAGGAUUCCCUGGCCUAGAGGGUGGAGUGUAAGGAACAUGGCUGUGUGCAGGCAAGCAGGCAUAGGCCAAGGUAAACAGCCUAGAUGACUCAGUGGGAUUGGGGCACAAGUGCACAGUCCCAUAUCUUAUAUAAUCAUAGCCGUGUAGGCACAACAUAAAGAAGCUCCCCACCUGGCUCUCAGUCACUAUCGUUUGUGUAGUGUAUAAAUGUAACACUGACCCUGUGAAGGGGCUGCUGAAUAAAGCCAUGUCUCAUUUACCUGCUGUCUCUUGAGGGUUCUUCCAGCUCCCUGCCCCACGUCCACCUACUCCCCUCAGCCCUCAGCUGGGGCUGGAACCUAACCCUGAGCAUGACAGAGAUGCACAGAGGGUUGUAAGCAGAGAAAUGACAAGCUCUUAGGAUUUGACAGGAUCAUUCUACUUUGUGGAAAAUAGAUUUAAGGGCACACGGACAAAACAGAAAGACCUGCUAAAGGGCUGCUGCAAUAGGGCAGAUGAGAAAUGGUGAUGGCUUCGACUACAGCAGUGGUGGUGGAGGUGGUAAGAAAUGUUUGAAAUCUGGAAAUAUUCUGAUGAUAGAGCCAACAUCAUUUGUUAAGGGAUUGAACAUGAGUUGUAAGAGAGAGGAAUAAAGGAUAAUUCCAAGAUUAUUUGUUUCAUAGUUCUUCUAAAUAUCUGAAGAAGUAUCAGAAGUUAAAUACUCAACAGUGUAGCUAGGAAUGAAGUGAAAAAUACCUGUGAUUUCUAGUUCUUGUUCAUCAGAUGAGUCAGGACACAUGUGGCUGAACUAUAGGAUGUAAACACUGAAUACCCCGCUGGUAGCAGGGUAAUAGAGAUGAAGAGGGUGUUCUGAGGAUCUAGCCGUUGCGUAGAAAGUGAAAGCCUCCCUCCCCGCAACACACGCAGCCACAUACCCUUCUCAAAUAAGCAGGGUGAACCACUAGGCUGUCUUUUCCCUCUUUGAGGGAAACACAUGUUAUGUUUGCACAAACCUCAGUAGGCAACCAUCCCAUAGCACAGUCCAUUUCUGUGGCUUGGGAAAGUAAGGAGGAUUGCAGAGGCAAAAUAAUGUGGCACACGGUUGUACCCAAAAGAAAACUUAACUAGGGAAGAUCAAGUACCAGCUAGAAGGGGGUGAUUCUGAGGAAUGCAGAGUAGGACACAGGGUUCUUACGGAGUUACCCCGCCCUGCAUGGUCUCCAGCUGUGUCUUGUAGAGGAACUUAGUAGCAUAUUAGCUCCCAGGGCAAUUCCAGUGACAUCUUGGGAGCUUUUUUUCUGAAAAAUAACCACUCCUAGGCUGGGCAUGGUGACUCUCAACUGUAAUCCCAGCACUUUGGGAGACCAAGGCAGGUGGAUCACCUGAGGUCAGGAGUUCGAGACCAGCCUGGCCAGAAUGGUGAAACCCUGUCUUUACUAAAAAUACAAAAUAUUAGCCAGGUGUGGUGGUGCAGGCCUAUAAUCCCUACUACUUGGGAGGCUGAGACAAGAGAAUCUCUUGAACCCAGGAGGUGGAGGUUGCAGUGAGCCCAGAUUGCACCACUGCACUCCAGCCUGGGCAACAAGAGUGAAACUCCAUCAAAGAAAGAGAAAGAGAGAAAGAGAGAGAGAAAGAAAGAAAGAGAAAGAAAGAAAGAAAAGAGAAGAAAAGAAAAGAAAAGAAAAGAAAAGAAAAGAAAAGAAAAGAAAAGAAAAGAAAAGGGAAAGAAAGAAAGAAAAUCAUUCCUAGGGUCCCAUCCUCAGAGAUUGCAGUGUAAUUGUUCUGGGGUUGGACCCAGCAGUGGAUGGUCAAAAAGCUUCACAGGUGACUCUAAUAUGCAGAUACGAUUGCAAAUCCCUGUUGAGAAGUUCAUUCCCAAGGGGCUACACCAACGAGUUCCCCACCCCCAUGCGCACACAGAAGGGUUCAGUGAGCUGAGGCUUGAAUGACGGAGUCUAGGCUUUAUUUGUGACAAGAACUUCGCGACAUCUGCUGGCCCCUGCGCUUACAAAGUGAGGUUUAUGUGAAACUAUUAAAAUAUGACUGUCCUGAAUGAACAAUUCCUGGAUAAUAACAAAGAACUGCAAAAGUAAAAAGCUGGUUGAUUUAAAAUAAUGAUUAUGUAAAAGAAAUGUACAUGAUAUGUGGUAGCACCUGGUAUUUAUCCUCAUAAUGUAAUACCAUGACAAAGAGCAUUUUUGCCUAAAGAUGAAAUACAUAUAUUUGAAAUAAUGGAGCAUUACAUAGUACUCACAUACUAACUUCAGACGGUGCUUACUUUGUGUGAUGGUGUUUAACGUGAAUAAACCUGUGGUUUUAUUGGGAUGUCCACUGACAGAAAAAUCUGUGACUUUAUGGGGGCCAGCUAACUGGGAGAGAAAGAAAAAAGGAACAGGGCUCGUCCGGGAUUUGAACCCGGGACCUCUCGCACCCUAAGCGAGAAUCAUACCCCUAGACCAACGAGCCACCUAUGAAUUUCGGUUGGGUUACUAAACUUUAAUAAAACUUUCAGCCACGUCUACAGUUGGUCACUGUCUUCUUUUAUAACUAUGGGCAUGGGUGACACCUAGUGGAUAAAGUAAACCACUGCAGGUUUUCUCACCUAAAUUCCGGAAGGCGGCGCCUUGUGACUGCAGAUCCCUUUUAGGAAAAAUGUUCAGGCGUCAGUGGGAAUAAUUUAUGACAUGAAAUUGCAUGUUAUAACAUGAAAUUGCAUGUUUUCACUUCCGAGUGAGCCGAAGAUGCUGUUGGACAGGGAGCAGGCAAAUCAGGGACCGUCCCGAGUUAUCCGGUGGUCGGAAGGCAUCUCGUCCUUAACAGGUACCGACCGCCGUGCGCGCGGCCGGCGAAAGCUGUCGCCGCAGGGCGCCCUCCGUGAAGAGACCCCGAGGCAGAAGAGGGCCCCGACGCUGCCCGGUGACCCGCCUUGCCUGGCACGGGGCUGGCGCUCCAAACCGUUAGACCUGACAAGGUUGCCCUCCCUCUCUCGCGACGCCUUUCACAACAUGUAUUAUAACUCUUUCCACCAAUUUCAAAUAGUGCGGCUUAAAAGAUGAAGGAGAGCUAAACAAACCAGAAAGAAAAGAAAGAAAAAAUCCGGUAAAACUACAAAUACAGGAUCAUGAAGUUGGCAGGCGGGGAGGGUAAAAGAGGAAAGGGUAGAGAAU
rnacentral:tRNA from 1 species